rnacentral:rRNA from 1 species
AUUGAACGCUGGCGGCAGGCCUAACACAUGCAAGUCGAACGGUAACAGGAAGCAGCUUGCUGCUUUGCUGACGAGUGGCGGACGGGUGAGUAAUGUCUGGGAAACUGCCUGAUGGAGGGGGAUAACUACUGGAAACGGUAGCUAAUACCGCAUAACGUCGCAAGACCAAAGAGGGGGACCUUCGGGCCUCUUGCCAUCGGAUGUGCCCAGAUGGGAUUAGCUAGUAGGUGGGGUAAAGGCUCACCUAGGCGACGACCCCUAGCUGGUCUGAGAGGAUGACCAGCCACACUGGAACUGAGACACGGUCCAGACUCCUACGGGAGGCAGCAGUGGGGAAUAUUGCACAAUGGGCGCAAGCCUGAUGCAGCCAUGCCGCGUGUAUGAAGAAGGCCUUCGGGUUGUAAAGUACUUUCAGCGGGGAGGAAGGGAGUAAAGUUAAUACCUUUGCUCAUUGACGUUACCCGCAGAAGAAGCACCGGCUAACUCCGUG